UACAAAGUGUGCCUCUCGGUUGUGGGCAUGCCCAGUAGAGUUCGCCUUGCAGCCUGAAAUCCAGCCUCUAAAUUUGAACAGGAGGGAGACGAGGUGACUGAGCACACUUUUGUUGCUGCUCUCUCCCUCUGACUCUCCCACUUUCUCUCCCUCUCUCUCUCUCUCUCUCUCUCUCUCUCUCUCUCUCUCUCUCCCUCUCUAUCUCUCUCUCUCUCUCAAUGUUAUUCUUCCCUCCUCUGUCAGUAGUGAGUGUGUGGAGAGAUUUUUUGCUAUGGAAGAGCAAGAGGAGGUGCUGAAUUUCAGCUAGUACAAAAUGCAACAAGGGGGAAGUGAAGAAAAUAAGAAGAGCAAGAAGAAGAAGAAGAGGAGGAGGAGGGAGAAAAGACAUGAGAGAAAGACUUCACCCCCAUCUUCCUCUUCCUCUCCCUCACUCCCUCCUCUGCCAACGACUUUUACCUCAGAAAGAGCGGAGAGACCAACUUCAAAAGGCAGUCAGGAGGGAGCUGGAGUGUGAAACGUGAGGAGAGAAGCAAGAUGAGAGGCUGACCGGCGUUGUGUUUGCUAUGCUGUCCAGGAGCUGCCAGGACAUGAGACUGGGACCUACAGGUGACACCUGGCAGUAGUCUCUUUAUUCAUGGAAGACUGUACUCCGGAGGGCUCACAACCUGUGAGUGGAUACACAAAAGGCAGCGAGCUGCAAGAACAACGAGCGAUGGGGCAUCCUGGAUCCGAAGGGGAGGAAGCCCAGGUAUUGAUGACUGGAGGCCGAGGCAGAGCCCGUCUCAGUGUCAUCCUGCUGCAGGUCACGUUGGACUUAAAGACAAGCUGGAAAUCCCCUGAUGAGUCAACAUUUAACACUUUGCUGCCACGUCAACCAAAAAAGCCGCACACUUAUGUUUCUUUUUCAUUUUUUUGAAGGAAAAAGAGCUUAAGCAUGCUGGCAGUGGUUAACAUUUUGGGUAAUUUUCUGCCUCAGCAGCCUGGAUACCAGGAAGCUGUGCAGAUGUGUGUCUGCACAGGGCGAUUAGAUUUUGGCUUUUUCAAGUUGGUUUCUUUUUGUUUUUCAACUGAGCUGGCAAGUUUUUGAAGGAUGAUAUCAGUAAUCUAUUUGAUGGUGAUGGCAGAGUCACGCAGCGGCUGGAUCAGGAUGAGAUAAAGAAAAGCAAUCUCAGAAUUGAAGUCUUUGACUUUAUCUGGGAUCUUAAAGAAGAUGUUCAAUCAUUUGCAUACCUGCUAUUUCUGUUGUGGAGGCUCCUACUGCAGCAUGAGGUUGUUUGUGACAGUAUGGAAAUUACAUUCUUAAAAUUGUAAAACUGACUUUUUUGUUUUAUUUUCACUUAUUAAAUUCUUCACUUUGUAUUCAGGGAAGUAAUAAGCAUUUUUCACAGUUUUUUAGCACUGUACACAACGAUGAAUCGAUCAUUAUUAGCUGCACUUUCUGAUUCCACACAGGUAAACUUCAGUGUCACAGCGAUCAAAGAUAGUAAAGGCACAGAUGCACAGCAGAGACAGAUAAUCUUUAAUAAUGGUUUGUUGAGUAAUUGAGUAGUCAACUGAGUGGCAACCGUUUGACAGGCAAUUGAUUAUCUUUUCUAAUGUUAGUGGUAAAUCAAGUGGCUGACAUGUGGACUGACAAAGCAACACAAUGCAAGACAUAAUUUUGAUUUUGAUGCUGAAAUAAAACUACUUUUCUGGCUUUUAAUGAACCAUUCCUUUAAAUUUAAUUCUUUGUAACAUUUUAAACAACUGUAAGCUGGAAUCACUUUUUUGUAUUAUAACUACAAAUGUAUCUAUGAAGAGUUCAUUUGUAAAAACAGACAACUCCGUUUUGCUAAGUUUUCAGAAAACGUUUUAUUUUAUUGCUUACUUCAGAUGAUAUCAAUCAAACUGAAGUUGAGUGGAUUUGACUCAGUGGAAAAAUACAUGGCAAAAUGGAGAAAAAAUAAAUUAUUAGUGUUAUUUAUUAUUAUUAUUAUUAUUACUAUUAUCUCAAGUAAACAAAAAAAACAGUUUUCUGAAAAUUUAUAAAACGGAGUUACCUGUUUUUGCAAACAAACUCUUCAUAUCCUCAUCCUGCUGUCCUAUCAGUAGCUGCAUGUCUUCUGGUCAUGUACCUUCUGUACUUUUGUAUACACGAACACUGAGGUCCAGGGAAGCUGGAAGCAAAAAGCAAAGGCCUUUUGUGUCCAAACAUCAUUUAUAUCGUGUACAGUAGACACUUGUAUUGAGUAUAACACUUUUUUCUUUUACAGUGACACUUCAGUCUCCCUUUGUGGGAUCACAAAUGUUUUUUUGUGAUUCUAAAUUUGAUUGUAAAUGCUAAAUAUUUUGGUUAGGGUUGGGGUCAAGGUUAUUGCUGUGUUCAUGAUCUGAUGGUCACAGUACCUGACAUGAGACGCAGAUUUGCUGCGAAACCAAAUGGAAGCCACUGAUGUCCUGCCUGCGUUUUAGAAAGACGUCAUAAAAUACGUGACAUCCGGUGACCUGCCUAACAAGCUCAUAUCAAUAAAUUCACUCUCAGCUUUGAAAUCACAGCUGAAAGCACACUUUUCACACCGGUUAAUGUGUUUCAUUGACACAUGUGUCCUCUGCCUUCUGAAUCUGUUUACUUUGUGUAUUGCCAUCCACUUGUGACAUAACGUUCAGCUCAAUGACCCUGAAUAUUACAUGUAGUAGUAACACAACUGUCACUUGCAUAUUUCAUUACUGUUCUGAUGAAAACUUUGUCAUUUUGGUUUUAUUGUUUGUUUGAAUGUUCAUUUAUUACGUCAUGUUAACAUGUAACCUGAUGUACAGCUCCAUGAGAGGAGAUCAUAACUACAGACGAAGUGGAUUGCAAACCUACCAUAAAACUAAAUGAAUCUAUGUACCAAGUUUGUGAAGUACAGAUCCUGUGGUCUUUUUUUUUCUUCUAAUAAAUAGCAGAGAUGUGAGAGCAGUACAGUGCUCUCUUUAAAGGCCUGGUACUGAGAUAGAGAUGUCUUACAGUGGUGUCUAAAUAAAGUCUUACUGCUGUCAUUUCACAUGACUGUCAAUUCUUUAAACUGCCACGCUUAUUAAUAGAAGCUCUCACUGAGUUGUGGGAUUUUGCCAACCAACAUGCUUUUUAUUUCAUCUUUGGAGAUAUUUUUGUACCUUUUGAAAGCUUGAAAACUAAUUCUUUGGAUUUUUUUUUUUGCUGCUGCCAAGACAUAUCACAGCAUCUCUUCUGCUUACCACAAAGACAUUAGGCAGUAAAUGGACCUAAAGAUAUUAAUAAAGACAGCUGACAAGUUGUCAGCUUCUGGUAUACUUGCAGUAAUUUGUCUGUUUAAAACAGGAUGUAUGCAGCUGUGAAUGGUUAUUUAUUAAAUUGUUGUCCGUACCACACUAACACAUUAUUAAUGAACUUGUCAUGGUAAUUAGUCCUAUUUUAGGAGUAAAUAUUUAUUUAAUUUGUUUCGUCCUAAGCAUGCAGAAAUCCAUAAAUGCUUUUAUGCUUCAAGCGCAACAGUCAACUUUUACUGCUCGACAUGUGUUCACGCUAAUUUAGACAAGAGAAAAAGAAGUAAGUUCAGUAGCUGCGUUGUGCUUUGCUAAUGCUCUGAACUGUGCAUGUUAUUCAUUGUGAAACAGCUGCUCAACAGCUUUGUCUUUGUCUUUCUUGCAGCCUGUUAGACCAGGUCAGGACACGCCGGGGAUCGGUGCAUGAACAUGAGACGGAUAUGACAACCACACCGAAGCAAACUUCAGCUGCCCAUGCACACUCGUGUGCACGUUUCUGUGGUGUGCUGAGCCUGACCAGGGCGUACUGAUGUGCACACACACUCACAUCCUGACUAUGAAACAGCAAGUGUUGUUUUUAAAAUAUUUUAAAUAUCUUUGUAAUACAAAAAUAUGUAAUAAAAUAUUAAUCAAAUGUGUUUGUUUCGUAUUCUUUCAAGAUAUGCACCAAGGUUCUAUGCUAUCAUUUUGUUAUUUACAGCAUUGAAGCAUGCUGAUAUAUGAUCUACUGUGUAUUUCACAUAGUGUUCAUAUUUACCCUUCAUGUUAACACUUAUUUACUAUGUUGUAUAAUUUCUAGGUUUAUGCUAAAACUUAAACAUAAUGGCUUUCAUGCUGCCAGUUGGGCUCAAAUAAAUGACUGUGCCAUGCUAAUACAUUAGCUGACACUAGGUUUUCUGUGAACACUUUAUACUACACUAUUUUGUGUCAAUGUGCAUUUUAGUAUACUGUGCUGUGCUUGUAAUAUCAAUGGCACUUCAGCAUCUAUGCUAAUGUAACACACAGAAUAUUAAGAGAUAUUAUGUCAACAAAUAAAAGAAUGCUAUGUUAUGCAUAUUGCAUGCUGACAUUUUAGUACAUACUAUAUUGUUUCAUGUUGUCAUUGUAGCAUAGACUAUGUCUAAUAGACUUCUUCACACUUUACAUUGCAAUGCUACAUUUCAUGAUAACGUCUUUGCACAAAGUAUCCAGCAGGCUUUAUGCUAACCAAAAUAUACAAUGCUAUACCAUGGUGCACUGCAUGCUAACAUUACUAAUCUGGGAAAUGUUAAUUCAUCCUACCAUUUUAGCACAAGCAAAUUUUUUUGGCUUCUUGCUGAAACUUUCUUUAGCAGCGCAAUAAUACUCGACACUCCAAGUCAGUAUUUUAGCAUACGCCGUACCAGAAGGCUCUGUGCUACUAGCAACAUCACAAAAUGACAUUAUUAUGCCAAUGUAAUAAACAGUGCUAUGUGAUAGCACACUACAUGCUAGCAUUUUAGUAUAUACUAUUUUGUACAUGACAUAAUUUUAACAUGCAAUAUGUUCAUUAGGCUUCCAGUUUGUAUUUGGACCAUAAUGGUACACGCUAUGCUAACCUCUCUGUGAGCACGAUGUUAAUUGGUGGUAGAUGCCAUAAUACUAUACAAAACAAUGCAUGAACCACUACAUGGUAACAUUUUAGUGCACAGUAUUUUGGGGAAACAUAACCUCCUGCUGUCAUUUAAGUGAAUACUGGUUUGCUUCAUUCUACAAUAUUAGCAUUAUGUACAUUUGUUGGGCUUUCUGCUAACAUCUGGUAGCCAACACUUCAUGCUAACAUUUCAGAAUCCUCCAGUACUACAUGUAGAGGAAAAUUUCCUCAACGGUGAUUUUUACAAUGUUGCAAAUGAUCAACCCACUGAUUAAAUUUCUGGAAUUGUUUUGAGAUGAAAUGUCAA